rnacentral:rRNA from 1 species
UACGUAGGGUGCAAGCGUUAUCCGGAAUUAUUGGGCGUAAAGAGCUCGUAGGCGGUUUGUCGCGUCGGAUGUGAAAGCCCGGGGCUUAACUCCGGGUCUGCAUUCGAUACGGGCAGGCUAGAGUUCGGUAGGGGAGAUCGGAAUUCCUGGUGUAGCGGUGAAAUGACGCAGAUAUCAGGAGGAACACCGGUGGCGAAGGCGGAUCUCUGGGCCGAUACUGACGUGAGGAGCGAAAGCGUGGGGAGCGAACAGG